rnacentral:rRNA from 1 species
CCCUUAGAUGUCCUGGGCCGCACGCGCGCUACACUGAACGGAUCAGCGCGUUUUCCCUUCCCGAGAGGGACGGGUAACCUGCUGAACCCCGUUCGUGGUAGGGAUCGGGGCUUGCAAUUAUUCCCCGUGAACCAGGAAUGCCCAGUAAGUGCAAGUCAUAAGCUUGCGUUGAUUACGUCCCUGCCCUUUGUACACACCGCCCGUCGCUACUACCGAUUGAACGUUUUAGUGAGGUACUCGGACUGAGCCUCAGAAGAUUCACGUCUUUUGUGCUGCUCGGGAAGAUUCCCAAACUUGAGCGUUUAGAGGAAGUAAAANUCGUANCA